rnacentral:rRNA from 1 species
UACGUAGGGUGCAAGCGUUGUCCGGAAUUAUUGGGCGUAAAGAGCUCGUAGGCGGUUUGUUGCGUCGGCUGUGAAAUCCCGAGGCUCAACCUCGGGUCUGCAGUCGAUACGAGCAAACUAGAGUGUUGCAGGGGAGAACGGAAUUCCUGAUGUAGCGGUGAAAUGCGCAGAUAUCAGGAGGAACACCGGUGGCGAAGGCGGUUCUCUGGGCAUUACCUGACGCUGAGGAGCGAAAGUGUGGGGAGCGAACAGG